UACGUAGGGGGCAAGCGUUGUCCGGAUUUAUUGGGCGUAAAGAGCGUGUAGGCGGCUUUACAGGUCCGUUGUGAAAACUCGAGGCUCAACCUCGAGACGCCGGUUGAAACCAUCUGGCUAGAGUCCGGAAGAGGAGAGUGGAAUUCCUGGUGUAGCGGUGAAAUGCGCAGAUAUCAGGAGGAACACCAGGUGGCGAAGGCG
rnacentral:rRNA from 1 species